UACAACUUUCAGCAACGGAUGUCUUGGCCCCUACAAUGAUGAAGAACGCAGCGAAAUGCGAUACGUAAUACGAAACGCAGGACCUCGUGAAUUAUCAAAAUUUUGAACGCACAUUGCGCUUCCGGGAAAUGCCCGGUAGCAUACUUGGUUGAGUGU
rnacentral:rRNA from 1 species